rnacentral:rRNA from 1 species
AGAGUUUGAUCCUGGCUCAGGAUGAACGCUGGCGGCGUGCUUAACACAUGCAAGUCGAACGAACCUUCGGGUUAGUGGCGGACGGGUGAGUAACGCGUGGGAAUCUGCCCUCAGGAGGGGGAUAACGGCUGGAAACGGCCGCUAAUACCCCAUAUGCCGAGAGGUGAAAUGAAUUUCGCCUGAGGAUGAGCCCGCGUCUGAUUAGCUUGUUGGUGAGGUAAUGGCUCACCAAGGCUUCGAUCAGUAGCUGGUCUGAGAGGAUGAUCAGCCACACUGGGACUGAGACACGGCCCAGACUCCUACGGGAGGCAGCAGUGGGGAAUUUUCCGCAAUGGGCGAAAGCCUGACGGAGCAACGCCGCGUGAGGGAUGAAGGCCUCUGGGCUGUAAACCUCUUUUCUCAAGGAAGAAGAUCUGACGGUACUUGAGGAAUAAGCCACGGCUAAUUCCGUGCCAGCAGCCGCGGUAAUACGGGAGUGGCAAGCGUUAUCCGGAAUUAUUGGGCGUAAAGCGUCCGCAGGCGGCCUUUCAAGUCUGCUGUUAAAACGUGGAGCUUAACUCCAUCAUGGCAGUGGAAACUGUUGGGCUUGAGUUUGGUAGGGGCAGAGGGAAUUCCCGGUGUAGCGGUGAAAUGCGUAGAUAUCGGGAAGAACACCAGUGGCGAAGGCGCUCUGCUGGGCCAUAACUGACGCUCAUGGACGAAAGCCAGGGGAGCGAAAGGGAUUAGAUACCCCUGUAGUCCUGGCCGUAAACGAUGAACACUAGGUGUCGGGGGAAUCGACCCCCUCGGUGUCGUAGCCAACGCGUUAAGUGUUCCGCCUGGGGAGUACGCACGCAAGUGUGAAACUCAAAGGAAUUGACGGGGGCCCGCACAAGCGGUGGAGUAUGUGGUUUAAUUCGAUGCAACGCGAAGAACCUUACCAGGGUUUGACAUCCUGCGAACCUCUAAGAAAUUGGAGGGUGCCUUCGGGAACGCAGUGACAGGUGGUGCAUGGCUGUCGUCAGCUCGUGUCGUGAGAUGUUGGGUUAAGUCCCGCAACGAGCGCAACCCACGUUUUUAGUUGCCAGCAUUUAGUUGGGCACUCUAGAGAGACCGCCGGUGAUAAACCGGAGGAAGGUGUGGAUGACGUCAAGUCAUCAUGCCCCUUACAUCCUGGGCUACACACGUACUACAAUGCUACGGACAAAGGGCAGCAAACUCGCGAGAGCUAGCAAAUCCCAUAAACCGUGGCUCAGUUCAGAUCGUAGGCUGCAACUCGCCUACGUGAAGCAGGAAUCGCUAGUAAUCGCAGGUCAGCAUACUGCGGUGAAUACGUUCCCGGGCCUUGUACACACCGCCCGUCACACCAUGGAAGUUGGCCACGCCCGAAGUCGUUACUCCAACCCUUGUGGAGGAGGACGCCGAAGGUGGGGCUGAUGACUGGGGUGAAGUCGUAACAAGGUAGCCGUACCGGAAGGUGCGGCUG